GAUGAAGAACGUAGCGAAAUGCGAUACUUGGUGUGAAUUGCAGAAUCCCGUGAACCAUCGAGUCUUUGAACGCAAGUUGCGCCCGAAGCCACUAGGCCGAGGGCACGCCUGCCUGGGCGUCACACGUCGUUGCCCCCCCCCCAUCUACUCCUUCGGGCUUGCGGGGGGGGGAUGAUGGCCUCCCGUGCGCCUAGCCGCGCGGUUGGCAUAAAUACCAAGUCCUCGGCGACGCACGCCACGACAAUCGGUGGUUGCGAAACCUCGGUUGCCCGUCGUGUGCGUUCGUCGCGCAUCGAGGGCUCGAAAAAAGGCUCGGCUCCGGCUCGGCUUUCAACGCGACCCCAGGUCAGGCGGGGUUACCCGCUGAAUUUAAGCAUAUCAAUAAGCGGAGGA
rnacentral:misc_RNA from 1 species